GAUGAACGCUGGCGGCGUGCCUAAUACAUGCAAGUCGAGCGAACAGACGAGGAGCUUGCUCCUUUGACGUUAGCGGCGGACGGGUGAGUAACACGUGGGUAACCUACCUAUAAGACUGGGAUAACUUCGGGAAACCGGAGCUAAUACCGGAUAAUAUUUCGAACCGCAUGGUUCGAUAGUGAAAGAUGGCUUUGCUAUCACUUAUAGAUGGACCUGCGCCGUAUUAGCUAGUUGGUAAGGUAACGGCUUACCAAAGCAACGAUACGUAGCCGACCUGAGAGGGUGAUCGGCCACACUGGAACUGAGACACGGUCCAGACUCCUACGGGAGGCAGCAGUAGGGAAUCUUCCGCAAUGGGCGAAAGCCUGACGGAGCAACGCCGCGUGAGUGAUGAAGGUCUUCGGAUCGUAAAACUCUGUUAUUAGGGAAGAACAAACGUGUAAGUAACUGUGCACGUCUUGACGGUACCUAAUCAGAAAGCCACGGCUAACUACGUG
rnacentral:rRNA from 1 species